GACGAACGCUGGCGGCGUGCUUAACACAUGCAAGUCGAACGAAGUGGCGAACGGGUGAGUAACGCGUAAUCAACCUGCCCUUCAGAGGGGGACAACAGUUGGAAACGACUGCUAAUACCGCAUACUGAAGGAGGGGAUUGCGUCUGCUUAGCUAGUUGGAGGGGUAACGGCCCACCAAGGCGAUGAUCAGUAGCCGGUCUGAGAGGAUGAACGGCCACAUUGGGACUGAGAAACGGCCCAGACUCCUACGGGAGGCAGCAGUGGGGAGUCUGCCGCAAUGGACGAAAGUCUGACGGAGCAACGCCGCGUGAGUGAUGACGGCCGUCGGGUUGUAAAGCUCUGUUAAUCGGGACGCGGUACCGGAAUAGAAAGCCACGGCUAACUACGGGCCAGCCGCCGCGGUAAUAC
rnacentral:rRNA from 1 species